rnacentral:rRNA from 1 species
CAUUCUUCGGAAUGAGUGGCGCACGGCUGAGGAACACGUGACUAACCUACCCCGGCGUGGGGGAUAACGGGUCGAAAGACUCGCUAAUCCCGCAUACGAUCCGCCUCGGCGGAGGAAAGCCGUAAGGCGCACUGGGCGGGGGUCGCGUCCCAUUAGAUAGUUGGUGUGGUAAUGGCGCACCAAGUCGAUGAUGGGUCUCUGGUCUGAGAGGACGACCAGACAGAUUGGGACUGAGACACGGCCCAAACUCCUACGGGGGGCAGCAGCAAGGAAUUUUCGGCAAUGGGCGCAAGCCUGACCGAGCAACGCCGCGUGGAGGAUGACGGCUCUUGGGUUGUAAACUCCUUUUGGGGGGGACGAUAAUGACGGUACCCUCCGAAUCAGGCCCGGCUAACUACGUGCCAGCAGCCGCGGUAAUACAUAGGGGCCAAGCGUUGUCCGGAAUUACUGGGCGUAAAGCGUGGGUAGGUGGUCGGUGUUGUGCCGCGUGAAAGCGCCGGAGUAAUGCCGGCGAGGUCGCGGUAGACACACGGACUCGAGGCUCGCAGAGGAACGUGGAAUUCCCGGUGUAGUGGUGAAAUGCGUAGAUAUCGGGAGGAACACCAGUGGCGCAAGCGGCGUUCUGGGCGAGACCUGACACUGAGCCACGACGGCGUGGGGAGCAAACAGGAUUAGAUACCCUGGUAGUCCACGCAGUAAACGAUGCAUACCAGGUGUGGGAUGGCGUUCGCGUCGUUCCGUGCCGCAGCUUACGCGAUGAGUACGCCGCCUGGGGACUA